rnacentral:rRNA from 1 species
GACGAACGCUGGCGGCGUGCUUAACACAUGCAAGUCGAACGGAAAGGCCCUGCUUUUGUGGGGUGCUCGAGUGGCGAACGGGUGAGUAACACGUGAGUAACCUGCCCUUGUCUUUGGGAUAACUUCAGGAAACUGGGGCUAAUACCGGAUAGGAGCUCCUGCUGCAUGGUGGGGGUUGGAAAGUUUCGGCGGUUGGGGAUGGACUCGCGGCUUAUCAGCUUGUUGGUGGGGUAGUGGCUUACCAAGGCUUUGACGGGUAGCCGGCCUGAGAGGGUGACCGGCCACAUUGGGACUGAGAGACGGCCCAGACUCCUACGGGAGGCAGCAGUGGGGAGUAUUGCACAGUGGGCGGAAGCCUGAUGCAGCAACGCCGCGUGCGGGAUGACGGCCUUCGAGUUGUAAACCGCUUUCGCCUGUGACGAAGCGUGAGUAACGGUAAUGGGUAAAGAAGCACCGGCUAACUACGUG